ACGGCAUUGAGCAUCAUUUCAUGCCUAUUUGCUACCAGUAUCUGCUGUUUAUGUCUUUGCCUGAUUCCUAACUGGGUCACUUGUGUUGUUACUGCUGAGACUUGAGAAUUCCUCAGACAUUCUGGAUACAAGUUCUCUCUCAGGUGGUAAUUUUGAUCCCGAUCGGAAGUCUGGAAAUGGAGAGAUCUGCUCUUUCAGUGAGAGAAGACAGACAUAGUAACAGCUGAAAAUGUGUGGCGUGGCGAGCAACAAGCAAGAAACAAAACUCUCCCUGGGUCUGACAAUAAAGCAAGCGGAAGCUGAAUUAAAAUAUAGCAGGAAAGACUAUCUCAAGAUUUUGGCAAAGAAUUCUCUGAGGCUACGAUUCUGUUUAAGACACAAGAAGCAUCUGGAUUAAAAAUUUACAAAGAUAGACAGUAUGCAUGAAGGCGUUGUGGAGAACUCCGUACUGCGCACGCUCCAGCGGGUCCUUGGGGUGCUGGGCUUCGCCGGCCCAGAUCUGCUGGGAGUCCGUGUGUGUGGUUAAGCAACAUCAUUUCGGAUCGCAUCACCUGCGGCACCCCUACCAGCCUGCCUUUACCUGGUCAAUAGUUGGUAGUUUACAUAUAACGAUAUUAAAAUGUU